GAUGAACGCUGGCGGCGUGCCUAAUACAUGCAAGUCGAGCGAACAGACGAGGAUCUUGCUCCUCUUACGUUAGCGGCGGACGGGUGAGUAACACGUGGAUAACCUACCUAUAAGACUGGGAUAACUUCGGGAAACCGGAGCUAAUACCGGAUAAUAUAUUGAACCGCAUGGUUCAAUAGUGAAAGACGGUUUUGCUGUCACUUAUAGAUGGAUCCGCGCCGCAUUAGCUAGUUGGUAAGGUAACGGCUUACCAAGGCAACGAUGCGUAGCCGACCUGAGAGGGUGAUCGGCCACACUGGAACUGAGACACGGUCCAGACUCCUACGGGAGGCAGCAGUAGGGAAUCUUCCGCAAUGGGCGAAAGCCUGACGGAGCAACGCCGCGUGAGUGAUGAAGGUCUUCGGAUCGUAAAACUCUGUUAUUAGGGAAGAACAAAUGUGUAAGUAACUAUGCACGUCUUGACGGUACCUAAUCAGAAAGCCACGGCUAACUACGUG
rnacentral:rRNA from 1 species